UACGAGGGGGGCAAAUGUUGUUCGGAAUCACUGGGCGUAAAGGGAGCGUAGGCGGGUUUUUAAGUCAGGUGUUUAAUCCCGGGGCCCAACCCCGGACCGGCACUUGAAACUGGGAAUCUUGAAUAGGGGAGAGGUCAGUGGAAUUGGAGGUGUAGCGGUGGAAUGCGUAGAGAUCUCCAAGAACACCGGUGGCGAAGGCGGGUCUCUGGACCGAUACUGACGCUGAGGAGCGAAAGCGUGGGGAGCGAACAGG
rnacentral:rRNA from 1 species